UACAGAGGUGCCAAGCGUUAGGCGGAAUCACUGGGCUUAAAGCGCGCGUAGGCGGAUGUUUUAAGUGUCUUGUGAAAUCCCUCGGCUCAACCGAGGAACUGCGUCCGAUACUGGUGGGCUUGAAUCCGGGAGAGGGAUGUGGAAUUCCAGGUGUAGCGGUGAAAUGCGUAGAUAUCUGGAGGAACACCGGUGGCGAAGGCGGCAUCCUGGACCGGUAUUGACGCUGAGGCGCGAAAGCUAGGGGAGCAAACGGG
rnacentral:rRNA from 1 species